rnacentral:lncRNA from 1 species
UGAGUUUAUAAUGGUUUACCAUUUCGUCUAUCUACCCAAAAAAAAAUCUGAUAAAAAUCCAAUACUAUCACCUGAGAAAUAAUGAAUGUUAAAUGGAAUUUUUUAUUUGAAUCAUGGUAGAAUAGAGAGUUUUCUACCGCAGAAAGUGCAUACAUCUUCUAGUGUCCUUUGGUCUCGGUUUCACAUUUUACUUACAAAGGGAAUAUAUUUGGUAUGACGCCCUUGAGCAAAAACUUGUCCAGUCUUUUUCUUCUUGAACUCCACGCUUACAACAGCUACAGCCUUUCCUAUUCGUAAAACUCUAGCAUCAAUCUCAAUCUCUUCAUUGACAUAAGUAGCAUCAAAGCAUGAGAUAUUAAUCUCAAUGGAAACUCCAGAAUUCCACGGAAAUCCAGCUGCGGGAAUUGCGGCUGCGCCUACUAUAUCCACCAGAGUUAGGGAUGGCAAUUGGACCCAGACCCAAUGGAUACCCGCAAAAAAUACCCACAAUGGGUAGGGUAAAACCCCGCUUUUCUAGGUCUGGGCACGGGUACGGGUAAUACCCACAAAAUUAAAUGGGUAUGGGCACGGGUAAGGGUACUAUACUGCCCAGACCCGCAGACCCGCAUAUACAUAUUUAUAUAAUAUCAUAAAUUAUUUAUUUAUUUUUUAUGUAUAAUUAAUUAAUUUAUUUAGCUGUUUAAGCCUAAACCUAAACUUAAAACAAACAACUACUUAAUACAAUAACAACUCCAUCAUGCUGGUGUAUAAUUUUUUAGGCAUAUUUCAGAUGUUUUCUAUUUGACUAAAUACCACGGUUCAUAUUAUUUUAUGAGUUAAUUUUAAAAAAUUGGGAUCGUAGUUUUAUUUCAUUUGUGAUGUUUUUUUUUUUUUGUUUUUCCAUAGUUAAAGUGCGGGUAAUGGGUGCGGGUAUGGGUACUUAAGUACCCAUAGGGUAUGGGGAAGGGGACUAAAGUUGUUGCCCACGAGGGUACGGGCACGGAUACGGGUAUUUUUUAUAAAUGCGGGUAUGGGGACGGGCAUUGUAGUACCCUACCCAUUGGGUACCCAUUGCCAUCCCUAACCAGAGUAGUUAUAGCACCACCGUGCAAGUAUUUACUUGAAUUCUGCGAAUUAAUUAGUUAAUAUUGGUAAAAAACAAAAAGAAGAUGAUGAAUAGUGUAGGAUACGAACGAGUAAACGUGGAGGUAUGUUCAUUGAGAAGACGACACGACCAGGUUCAAUGCGAUCCAAUCGUAGGCCGCGCAAGGUUAGAUGUUCCAGAAACUCCUGAGGCAAUUCAUCGUCUACCAUUGACGAUGCUUCUCCUUUCUUCGUUGACGCUUCUGUUUUUCCCAUUCUGUUUUUUUGUUUGUUUGUUUGUUUGUUUAGCAGCAUUGACUUUUAGUUUGUAGCUUUUUUUUCACCAUAUAAAAUUGAUAAAGAAGGAUAACACUUCACGCUGUCCUCUCGGUUUGAAUAACUUAGUCUAGAUAAGGAUGGUAAUCAAGUCAAUAAAAAUAAUGAACCUAUGACAAGAAGUUAGUCCAGUCAAAAAAAAGAAGACAAAUAUUUAACAGUUUAUGCAUACUUCUUCGUGUUUGUUUCAAAAGGUGUCCACAAGCAAUAGUCAACUUGAUCUAUUCAACCAACGAUUCAACCCAAUCUAAAGCAUUUGAUUAAAAAAAAAAAAUGUUUGUUUGUUUCUUUGUACCAAAAAUAAAGGAACGAUGUAACACUUUCACCUCACUGCCCUCUCAGUUUGAAUGCUCUCAUUAUAUUAUUAAAUUAAAUCCAAGCUAAGCCAAGUUUGCUUAAUUUUUAUUUUUUAGAAGCCAAAAAUAAGAUAAAUUAUAAAAGCUUUCAUAGCACAAGGCAUGUCAAGAACAUACAAUGAUUACAAAGAGUUUACAAGAUAGAAAUCAGGUGGAGUUUAACAUGGAAAAUGUCAAUCCUUUUCCACCAUGGACCAUUGCAAAUCAACCAUCAAAUUUUAGAGUAUAUUACAUCUUAUCAUGUGUGUCUCACACUAGAUCCAACUAUCCAUUUUCUACAACUCAUCUCCCUCAAUCCGGAUCUGCACAGUUUUAAUUUGUCCAAUUCUCAAUUCCCGACAUCUGGUAAGAAAGAUUCAACUCUUGAGAUCAAACAUUAUCUGAGAAGUAACAAAACAUUGAAACAAUGCCAAGUUCUCUCGCAUCUCCUGGAUAUCCUCAUGUUCUCAAAAUCUGGUUGUUAUAUGCAUCAGACUCACCGUCGCUGACUCACCGUCUUUCUCACCGUCGCGGUGUCCCCUUUUUCAGUUUUAUGAUGACAUCUAAGUGCAUGAAAUUGGAGAUAAUUUAGUAGUGCAUGUUUAAUCUUGCAAGGUGAAGGCUUGGAUUUUACAAUUCUUUGAUCUCUCGUGAAAUUAAUUAAGUGUUUUAAUGACUAAUACCUCAAAUUCGUCCUUGAAUUUUGAAAAUCGGCCAAUUUCAUCCCUGAAUUUUGCGAAAUAUCAAAUUAGUCCCUGAAUUUUGCAGAAGUCCAUCAAAUUCGUCCCUCCGUCCAAAAGGUCCGUUAAUAGUGAUGAUGUGGCUUCUUGCAUGCUUUGUUGUCCUGUACACGUGUCAGCAAGUCAGCCACGUGUACAAGGACUAAAUUGAUGGAAAUGGUCAAAAUUUGAUAUUUAACAUUUCAGUCUCUUUUUUCCUGUGUUUCCAAUUAUACCCCUCUAUUACAUGUAUUGUCCUGGAUCGAUUUGAGACUUACUGUCAUAAUUUGAGGACUAAUUUGAUGAAUUUUGUUAUAAUUUAAGGGCUCAUAUGAUUGAUUUUAUUUGCAGAGAAUGAGUACAAGGAGAUAUGGCAUGAGAGGACCAAUGAAUUCAAAUGACAUGCAUAAACAAACACCACUGAGGGGUCCUGCUCCACAAGAUCCAACUGCUCUUGGAGUUAUUAGAAUUUCAAAUCCAAAUUACGGGUCAUCCGCUUCUACUCAACCCCAAUACAUGGAGUUUAUCCCAGCUCCAGAAUUUCCAAAGCAUUGAUGCAUGUUUAAAUUAUGUUUUUGGACUAGUUUAAUUAAUGCUUUUUGGACUUGUUUAGUUUACGCUUUUUUGGAUAUAUAAUCACUUAAGAACAUCAAAUGAUUUGAUGACUAUGUAAUGUUAUUUUUUUGGCUAUGUAAUGACUUAUGAACAUCAAAUAUAUGACUUAUGAUGGUAUGAAAAUGUCCGUCUUUUUAUAAUCAAAGUGUCUGUCUUUUACUUUUUACUUUGUUCAGCAAAUGUAUGCACCAAGGAUCACAGUGAUAUCUGUUGUGAAAAUUCAAGGACCUAUUUGAUGGUAUUUAAACUAAUUUGAGGAUCGAUAUGAUGGAUAUGGAUAUAAUUCAAGAACCAAUUUGAUUGAAAUAUUUUGACAUAAUGGUUUGGUUCAUUCAUCGACAACCUCUUUUCAUUACAACAUUACAUGGACUUGGCAUAAUACAAUAUUAUUUUAAACAACUCAAUCAAACAAAAUACUCCUAUCAAUAUCUUAAUCAACCUAAGCUCACUUCCUACACAAUCAACUUUAUCCAUCAACCUUGUCCUCCAAAAUACACCUAGAGCUUGAAGAUGAAUACCGGUUGUUGUAGUUGUUUUUGCCCAUUUGCGCACCACCCAUCAAUUUUGAACACCGAAUCUACAAGGCAGACCACUUGAUUUAUGAAUUUUGAAUUUAAUCAAAAAAAUUAGGGUUAUAAGUUUUUUGAAUUGGGGAAGAAAUUUGACAUCAAUUCAUGGAAGAAAUUUUGGGGAUUUUGAACUUUGUAAGGAAUUAUAACAUUAGGGUUCCAAAUUUAUAUAUUUGGGGAAGAAAUAGCCCUUAAUGAGGAAGAGAAGAAAGAGCUGUUACUCACAAAGAAGGGAAAGAGCCGCUGCCAAUUUUCUGAAAAUCCAUCAAUUUGGUCCUUGGAAAUUUUGUGUAAAUUCAUCAAUUUGGUCCUUGGAAAUUUUGUGUAAAUCAAUCAGUUUGAUCCCUGCUUGCGUGGCAUCUUACGUGGUAAGCUUUGUCAGAGGUUAACGUUACACGUCACCUCCAUUAACAGACCAACUUAACGGAGGGACUGAUUUGUUUGAUAUUUUGUAAAUUCAUGGACUAAUUUGAUAUUUCGCAAAAUUCAGGAACGAAAUUAGCCGAUUUUUCAAAAUUCAAGGACGAAUUUGAGGUAUUAGUCGUGUUUUAAUCUCAUGUUUAACGAUGGCGACGACGACAGCGAGAAGAUGUAGCGGAGGAUUGCAGACCAGUUGCAGAUUUGUGUUUUGGUUCCUAUGGGUUUAAUUUACCAAUUCUCAAAAUAAGUUUUGCAAAUAAAAAAGAAAACUACAUAUAUAAGUUAAAUUAGUUGUGUUGGAAAGUGGAAAAGAAAUGAUCUAAUAUCGACGGUGUAUAAUAAGAUUAUGUUCUUCAAUUAAUUUAAUGUCAAAACAAUUAUACAAGGUGUCUACGACAAAAUCACAACUCAAAAUCAAUGAACAUCAAUGCCUAAAUAUUGUAAAGGUUAUGUACUACCGGUAAAAAAACAAAAGAAAAUAUGUAAACUUUUGUUUUAAUUCAUGACCAUAUCAAAAAAAUUAUCAUAUCAAUGAUUGGACCUUUCCUACGAUCUUGCUAAUCAAAAAUCAAAUUGUUACUAUAUUUCCAAGUCGAUCAAAUGCAUGCCAAGUACCAACAAUAUAGAGCAAAGAUUUUCAUGAUUUGCUUAACCAUGACACACAUGUUAAACUGAGUGACGUGUAAAAAAAUAUUAAACGAUGCACGUCUAACACUCAACCUAAUCUUUAUCAACACAUCUGACCCAACCUUGCUAAAAUAAAGGACAUUAAAAGAAUAAAGAUUGUGACGUUUCAUUCACUUCCCAUCCUCCUACACAAAAGGAGGAAUCUAAAUUAUUAAUCUCACGAGGAAGCACGUUGUAUUUCGUUGGAAGACGAUCAUCAUAAUCAAUCAAUAUAUUAAUAAUAGAGAAAUAAGUUUCUUUUCUUUUACCGAGUAAACAUCAUCAAACUUCUACUUCCAUCUGUCAGCUUUGCUUCCUUCACAAUUACUUGUACAUAUUCACAUUUUACUCUUAAGGGGAAGAUAUUUUAGGGGAAGAAAUUUUGUAUGACGCCCUUGAGCAAAAACUUGGCCAGUUUUUUUCUUCCUCAACUCCACGCUUAGAACAGCUACAGCCUUUCCUAGUCUUAGAACCCUGGUAUCAAUCUCAAUCUCCUCCUAACACAAAAAACCAGUAAAAAAAUAUCCUAUUCCUCCAAUUAUCAAAAUUUAAUAUCACAAAAAAAAAUUAAACAAUACAUCAUGUAAAAAAUUGAAAGGAGUGGUAUUAUUCAUUUACUUUCAGAUAUUUAAUCAGUCAUAAUUAUUCACUCUGUUGUGUCGGCAGCUAGCUACUGUAGACACUUUGUUUGUAUAUGAAGCUUCAAUAAAUGAACAAUGGACUCAGAUUCAAUAAGAAGUGGUAAAAAAGCAUCAUAACAAAGAGUUUGUCUUGGUGUUUUUGUAUAAAUAUGCAUUUUCUAUAAACGAAAAAGAUAUUCAAAUUUUCAAACCAUCGUUUUCAGCUAACUAGCUUUCACAUUAUCUCUAUUAUUAUAAUUAGAAAUGAAAAUUCAUAUCUAAAUGUCAUUCUGAUUCAAAGUAAAAAAAGAAAAUAGAAAUUUAAAAUGCUGUUAGAAGGUGAAGAUAGUUUCAUUAGUCUUUGUGAAUUAGCAAAUGUGCUUAAUGGACAUGGCUUGACAGUGUAAAAUAGUUUUACCAUACAACUAAUUACAAAAAUUGUAGGAUUAGCGAUAAUGCAAGAGUGAUUAAGCUUUGAAAUAAACUAACAUUGACAUAGGCAGCAUCCAAGCAUGAUAUAUUGAUCUCUACGGAAACUCCGGAUUUCCACGGAAAUCCAGCUGCGGGAAUUGCGGUUCCGCCUGCGAUAUCCACCAGAGUAGUGAUAGCACCACCGUGCAAGUACUUACCUGAAUUCUGCGAAUUAAUGAAUUAAUUUAUGUCAAAUGAAGAAGAAGAAGAAGAAGAAGAAGAAGAAGAAGAUUGAAGAGAGUACGAACGAGUAAACGUGGGGGUAUGUUCAUUGAGAAGACGACACGACCAGGUUCAAUGAGAUCCAAUCGCAGGGCGCGCAAGAUUAGAUGUUGCAAAAACUUUGGAGGAAAUUCAUCAUCUACCGUUGAUGCUAGUCUUUUCUCCAAAUACUUCUUCACUGAUUCCAAAUCUGGCAUAGUUCCUUCUGUUUUUUCCAUUCUAUUUUUUUUUUUCAAUGUAGCUUCUGUUUUUGAAAUAGAUUAUAAAGCUUUUUUUUUUUUUUUUUUUGGCAAAUGGUCUUUUAAGUUUUUCGUUUUUUCCAAAGUUGUUCUUUAAGUUUCAAAAGUCCUAAACAUGUCCUUUUUAGUUUUUGAAUCGUUUCAAACACGUCCUUUUAGAGGAUAACGGUGAUGAUUCAUAUGAUAGCAACAAAGAGCAUUAUCCACCAUUUGACAUGCCUAAAAAAUGAGUAAUUUUAAGUGGGUGUUAGGAGCCAGAUUCGGUACCAAAGAUGAGUUCAAGAAAGCAAUUACCAACUAUGCUAUCUACAAUAGGACUUGUUUGAAACGAUUCAAAAACUAAAAGGACUUGUAUGAGAAUUUUGAAACUUAAAGCACCACUUUGGGAAAAAUAAAAAACUUAAAGGACCUUUAGAUGUAUUUGACUUUUUUUUUUGUCUAAUAACCUAGUGGCUUGAGCAAUUAAAUGCGAAGUGGGGUGUUCGGGGUUCAAAUCCCGAUCCCUCCAUAAAUUAUGCAAUUUCCCUACCAACUGAAUUAAGUUCAAGAGGACUUAUAAACUUCUUUUUACAAUGAAUUUUGCUCUUCUCCCAACACAUUUUGCUCGCGCCUAACUGAACUUCCUAAAAUACCGCUAAGUGAGUUAACUCACGCACGUGUUAAUUCCCAACGUGAGUUAACUCACGCAAGUGUUAGUUCCAGCGUGAAUUAAAUUGUGCAGCGCAUGUUAAGAUGCAUAGAUUUUAACACAUGCAUUACUUAACUAACGCAGGGGUAUUUUCGAUAUUUCAGUUGGACGCGAACAAAAUGUGUUGGGAGAGAGUUGAAUUCUUUUACAAUAUAUAUAUAUAUAUAUAGAGACAAAAAUAAAGAUAUAAAGACCACUUUACCGGCCCUCGCGUGAAGAACGUGGUCCAAUAUAUAUAUAUAUACCAAAUCCAAGCUAAGCCAAGUUUUUUUUUUUUUUUUUGUGGUGAUCGGGGUUUGAACCCUGGACUUUGCAUAUUUUAUGUAUUGUUCUUAUCAAAUAAGUUAAGCUCACGAGGACGCCAAGUUUUUAUUAACUGCAUUUGGUUAAUAUUUUAAAGGGAUAAUAGUCGUUUUGGUAAAAAAAAUAAAAAAAUAUUUUGGUCAAUGUAACGAGUUAGUUAGAAUAGUUUAUCAAUAUAUCAAAAUUUCAAAACACAUAGGAUUGAUAUAGGGACGUUAAAAUAAGUAAAUACUUCAAUAAUACAAUAACUCUUUUCUUAUAUAACUGAUAGUGUAUUACAAGUGAGUACAUUGAAAACAGUAUUAACCAUAUAUUUUAACUCGAGGGACGAGUUGGAUGUGCAUAAUCAAGGACUACUUUAUCAUUUUGAUACAUUCAUUUACUAUUGUGCCUAUUUAUUACACAUUAAGAGACUAAAAUGAAUAUUUGAACAAUGUUUUGUUACUAAAAAAACUAAUAUAUCACGGCAUUUAUUGUUUUGUCUAUUAAGUGGAUAAAUAGUGUCUAUAGUAAUGGACGCGUAUAUUACUAGUUUGUUAAAUUUGAAUUUGCAAUGAAAUGAACCUAAAACAAGCAGAUAAAAGUGUUUAUGUUUUUGUUGUUGUUGACCGAACAGUGUUUCUGUUUAUUUCUCCUCUAUUUACUACUUUGUUUCGCAAUUUGGUUGUAAAGCCAAUCAUUUAUGUUUACAAAGAUUAAUGUAGCUACACCUCGAUGAUCUUUUGUCCUUUUGGAUACCUCCAUAACUUGCCAAUUGCCAUCACCCACCCUUUGAACCUCUAGAAAACAUUACUGGCCAAGUACAUUUCCAAAGGUCUUGAAAAAAAACCUAUCAGGUUUGCUUCCUUCACAAUUACUUGUAUGCACAUUCACAUUUUACUGACAAAGGGAAGAUACUUGGUAUGACGCCCUUGAGCAAAAAUUUGGCCCGUCUUUUUCUUCCUGAACUCUACGCUUACAACAGCUAUAGCAUUUCCUACUCGUAGAACCUUGUUAUCAAUCUCAAUCUCCUCCUACCAUUGCAUAAGCCAUAGGGAAUUAAACAAAGAAAGAACUAUUUUUGUGAUAUCUUCAUCACACAAAUUUAAUAAAAAAAACCAGGAAAAGAAUAUCAUAUUCCUCUAAUUAUCAAUUUGAUAUCACAGAUAACAACAAAGCAUGUAAAAAAUUGAAAGGAGUAGUAUUACUCAUUCACUUUCUGUUAUUUUAGUGAAUGAUACAUUACCGUUAGCUUAGUGGGGCAGUGAGAUAGUGUAGUCUGUAUAGAUGCUAUGUAUAAGAAGUUUCAAUGAAUGAUGAAUGAACUCAGAAGAACAUUCAUUCUCUCAAUUCUGUUCAGUCUUCACACUUCCUCAUUCUCAUAUUCAAUUAGCAGUGGUGAAAAACAUCAUAAAAAGAGUUUGUCUUUGUAUUUUAAGAAUAAAUAUGCAUCCUUUGUUUUCCCUUUAUUAAUCUAGACUGAAUACGGGUCCGUUUUCUUUUUCGGGUAAUACACUACAAAAGAUAACAUAAAAGUUUUUGAAAAUGCUGAAAUUUUGAAAACAUUCUUUUAAACAAGAAUUAGUGUUGAAGGGCAUUGUUUGUUUAUAAACCGAAGUCAUCACAACUAUGCUAACACAAAAUCACCCCGACAAUUAUUUACAGAACACCAAUAAAUAUUAGUAUUAAGAAACGAAAAAAGAGAUUGAAAUAUUCAAAACAUCGAUUUCAGCUGGAGGGACGUAUCCUCACUAAUUAUAGCUAUCACUUUAUAUGCAUCACAAUUACAAUUCAAAGUAAAAAUUGAAAAUGUUGUUAGAAAGUAAACAUAACUUCUUAAUUGAUGGUGUACAAAACCGUGAAAAACAAAUUUACAUCUUCUAUUAGUUAAUUAGGACAAUAGUAGUAUUAAAUAUUAAUUAAUUAAAAAAUGUUUGAUUAGCGAUAAUACAAGAGUAAUUAAGCUUUUAAAUAUACUAACAUGGACAUAAGCAGCAUCGAAGCAUGACACAUUGAUCUCGAGGGAAACUCCAGUAUCCAUUGGAAAUCCAGCGGCAGGAAUUGCAAUUGCUCCUACCACAUCCACCAGAGUAACAAUAGCACCAACGUGCAAGUGCUUACCUGAAUUCUGCGUGUUAAUUAAAUAAUUAAGGUCAAAACAACAACAAAAUCCAUCAUCAAAAGCAAGAAGAAGAUUGAGGAGAGUACGAACGAGUAAACGUGGAGGUAUGUUCAUUG